rnacentral:rRNA from 1 species
GAUCAUUUGCACAUUCCUAACAACAACAAUCUUUCACGACUUUGUGAGCUGUGGUGUGGUUCCCAACCCUUGGGCUCUGCAUCAUUUGCUCGUGGGUGGCAUGGCUUGCAGCAGCAAGCGCUUUCAUGCUGCCGUGCUCCUGAACAUCAAUUCUUGGUAACACGCUCGUUCUUUGAUUGAAUCCUAAUCGCGAAAUGUGUUUUUGCAAUGAAUGUCUUAGCUCAAUUGAUGAUGAAGAAUGCAGCAAAAUGUGAUAUGCAUUGUGAAUUGCAGAAUUCCGUGAGCCAAUAGAUGUUUGAACGUAAUUUGCACCUUUGGGAUAUGCUUGAAGGUGUGCUUGAUUCAAUGUCAAUUAACUUCCAAUCUCUGGCUUGCUGGUUCAGCAACAUUGUGAGCUGUGUGCGUCAAUGCUGUCGCAUUAGACACACGCGCUUGCAAACGCCUUGCAACCUUACCGUGUCUGCUUAGGUCUAACCUCUGUCACUGGAUUUGGUUGCAAUGUGUUUGUUUUCUGAAGCUUGCACGCGUAAACUUAACAUGAAGUGAAGCAUGUAAACCCGCUGAACUUAAGC